ensembl:lncRNA
ACAGACGCUCACUGCUGUCUGACCUUCAAUUUUUGCCUCUACAAUGGUGCAAAACUGAUAUGCAUGCAGCAGAAACUGAACUUUGCCAGACGCGCGCGGACCACUACUCUGCCAUAAAAAAGGAUAAACCUGAGGCAUUCGUGGAAAGGUGGACGCACAUCGAGACCACGGGCGGUUAAGGCUGAAAUAGACGCACCCACUGGGAAAUGCUAAAUUGAUCCCGUUAGUCUCUUCCGUGGGGAAGAAGUCCGUGCUGUUGACCAGCCACCUAGCAGGCCGCUGCCCGCUGUGAUACUCUGUCCCUGUCCCCAUCCCCGUUCCCAUCAACACGUGACAUCCCUGGCCAGCCCGGAAGCGCUGGUAGGAGGAUAAAUUCGAGUGUCCCUUCACCCAGCACCCGGGCAAUGUGUAGCUUUAUUACCGAGCCUCAAGAUUGCAAUGAAAACCGUCUUAAUGCCAACAUAAACAAGAUCAAAUGGUGGCAGCAACAGAAACAAGACAAACAGAAACCCAAACCACCAGCAGAGCAAGACCUUUUAGUAAAACAGGAGUUCAGGAGGCGAGUCUACACCAAGGAGGCUGACUGAAGAAUGAAUAGCUCGAUUACAUUCAAGAACACACUGGAUUCCAUAUGUAAAGAAGCUAGAGGGGUGGAAAGAAUGCAAGACCACAGGACAAUUUGAAAGAGGAACAGGCUGAGGCCAUCGGAACUCCAGAUGGCUGCGGUGCUGGGACGGGCAGCAGUGGCCUCCUGAGGACGCCAAAGAGGAGGGAGGAGCACUCCAGGCAGAGGCCCAGCUGGAGCGAAGGCCUGAGGACAGCAGCCUCCAGGAGGAGGCAGAGCCAGCAGGGAUGGACAGGGCACAGGGGCAGGACAGCUGGAUGGGAGCACCAGGCUCGUGGGGCCACCAUAGCCAGUGGUGGCGAACCUUGGCACUCAAGCUGCAGUGAGCAGUUGGCUAGCACCGAAAGCUCGGAAGGGUUUGCCAUCCCUGGACAAGCCGUCACAGCGGCUUUCCCUCGGGCCCGUGCUCACCUGGGCCCUGUGCUGGGGGCCGAGGCUCCUCUUGUGUGUGUGGGCCGCAGGCGCAGCCAGGAGCUCCCGCUUCCUCCGAGGAGGAGGAGGGCAGUGAGUGUGGACCAGGCUCUCGGGAGCAAGGUGGGCACAGCUGACCGACAGAGCAGGUGGGACUUCCCACAGGAGCGCGUGCUCAGCCCCAGAGGGUGCACAACCCCGCCCCUGGGGAGCAGGGAAGCCAGUCGAAGCACCCCCAUCCCGAGAGGAAGAAGAAGCUGGAGGAGAAGGGACUUCUUCCUACCUUGGAAGAAGCGCAGGCACCUGGAUGAGACCCGACUUCACACGCACACCCCUGUGCCAAAGGCUCUCUCCUUCCCACCCGGGCGGAGCCACAGUGGAGAAGUGGGGAGACUCCUCCUCAGAUGAGCAUGGGCUGUGCUUUCCUCUCCCCCUCCCAGUUUAGCCCAAAAUGAACCCGACUGUCGCCUUGGAGAAGGGCGGGAGAGGGAGGCGCCCUGCGAACAUCCCAGGACCAGUCCCCGCAUGUGCGGGCAGGUUCCAGGAAUGUCUGCUCCUACCGACAACCAGCAGCUUCAAACACC